GCACCCUGGAGGACCGUAGGUGCUGCCGUGAGAGAGGAACGCUUCGAGUACGCCAAUAAACUGAGAGCGGCAGUGACUCAGCUACGUACGGCAGGAGAACGGCUAGGCAAGUACGAGAUAGAGAAGAGACACGCCAUUGACACAGAAAACUACGAACGAGCUAAAGUGAAGAAACAGCAGGCAGAGGAAUACAGGGAACAAGUGUACAAGGCUCUAGGCAUCGAGGAACUACUUGAGAGGAAGGGGAAGCUGGAUAAGAACAACACCUGAAGCGAAGGUGU